AUUGAACGCUGGCGGCAUGCCUUACACAUGCAAGUCGAACGGCAGCACGGGUGCUUGCCCCUGGUGGCGAGUGGCGAACGGGUGAGUAAUACAUCGGAACAUGUCCUGUAGUGGGGGAUAGCCCGGCGAAAGCCGGAUUAAUACCGCAUACGAUCUACGGAUGAAAGCGGGGGACCUUCGGGCCUCGCGCUAUAGGGUUGGCCGAUGGCUGAUGAGCUAGUUGGUGGGGUAAAGGCCUACCAAGGCGACGAUCAGUAGCUGGUCUGAGAGGAGGAGCAGCCACACUGGAACUGAGACACGGCCCGGACUCCUACGGGAGGCAGCAGUGGGGAAUUUUGGACAAUGGGCGAAAGCCUGAUCCAGCCAUGCCGCGUGUGUGAAGAAGGUCUUCGGAUUGUAAAGCACUGUAAGUGGGGAGGAAGGGCAGUAAGUUAAUACCUUGCUGUUGUGACGUUACCAACAGAAUAAGCACCGGCUAACUUCGUG
rnacentral:rRNA from 1 species